AUUGAACGCUGGCGGCGGGCCUAACACAUGCAAGUCGAGCGAGCGGCGGACGGGUGAGUAAUGUCUGGGAAACUGCCUGAUGGAGGGGGAUAACGGCUGGAAACGGUAGCUAAUACCGCAUACCAUCAGAUGUGCCCAGAUGGGAUUAGAUAGUAGGUGGGGUAACGGCUCACCUAGGGGACGAUCCCUAGCUGGUCUGAGAGGAUGACCAGCCACACUGGAACUGAGACACGGUCCAGACUCCUACGGGAGGAAGCAGUGGGGAAUAUUGCACAAUGGGCGAAAGCCUGAUGGAGCCAUGCCGCGUGUGUGAAGAAGGCCUUCGGGUUGUAAAGCACUUUCAGCGGGGAGGCGUUACCCGCAGAAGAAGCACCGGCUAACUACGUGCCAGCAGCCGCGGUAAUUC
rnacentral:rRNA from 1 species